CCUACGGGAGGCAGCAGUGGGGGAUAUUGCACAAUGGGGGGAACCCUGAUGCAGCGACGCCGCGUGGGUGAAGAAGCGCCUCGGCGCGUAAAGCCCUGUCAGCAGGGAAGAAAAUGACGGUACCUGAAGAAGAAGCCCCGGCUAACUACGUGCCAGCAGCCGCGGUAAUACGGAGGAGGCGAGCGUUAUCCGGAUUUAUGGGGUGUAAAGGGUGCGCAGGCGGGUUUUAAAGCCAGCGGGAAAAGCCGGGGGCCCAACCCCAGACUGCUGUGUGAACUGGGGGUCUAGAGUGCGGGAGGGGCAGGCGGAAUGCCUGGUGUAGCGGUGAAAUGCGUAGAUAUCAGGCAGAACACCGGUGGCGAAGGCAGCCUGCUGGACUGCAACUGACGCUGAGGCACGAAAGCGUGGGGAGCAAACAGGAUUAGAUACCCUGGUAGUC
rnacentral:rRNA from 1 species